rnacentral:rRNA from 1 species
GAGUUUGAUCUUGGCUCAGAUUGAACGCUGGCGGCAGGCCUAACACAUGCAAGUCGAGCGGUAGAGAGAAGCUUGCUUCUCUUGAGAGCGGCGGACGGGUGAGUAAUGCCUAGGAAUCUGCCUGGUAGUGGGGGAUAACGCUCGGAAACGGACGCUAAUACCGCAUACGUCCUACGGGAGAAAGCAGGGGACCUUCGGGCCUUGCGCUAUCAGAUGAGCCUAGGUCGGAUUAGCUAGUUGGUGAGGUAAUGGCUCACCAAGGCGACGAUCCGUAACUGGUCUGAGAGGAUGAUCAGUCACACUGGAACUGAGACACGGUCCAGACUCCUACGGAGGCAGCAGUGGGGAAUAUUGGACAAUGGGCGAAAGCCUGAUCCAGCCAUGCCGCGUGUGUGAAGAAGGUCUUCGGAUUGUAAAGCACUUUAAGUUGGGAGGAAGGGCAGUAAAUUAAUACUUAGCUGUUUUGACGUUACCGACAGAAUAAGCACCGGCUAACUCU